rnacentral:rRNA from 1 species
AUUGAACGCUGGCGGCAUGCUUUACACAUGCAAGUCGAACGGUAACAGGCCGCAAGGUGCUGACGAGUGGCGAACGGGUGAGUAAUGCAUCGGAACGUGCCCAGUCGUGGGGGAUAACUACUCGAAAGAGUAGCUAAUACCGCAUACGAUCUAUGGAUGAAAGCGGGGGACCGUAAGGCCUCGCGCGAUUGGAGCGGCCGAUGUCAGAUUAGGUAGUUGGUGGGGUAAAGGCUCACCAAGCCAACGAUCUGUAGCUGGUCUGAGAGGACGACCAGCCACACUGGGACUGAGACACGGCCCAGACUCCUACGGGAGGCAGCAGUGGGGAAUUUUGGACAAUGGGCGCAAGCCUGAUCCAGCAAUGCCGCGUGCAGGAAGAAGGCCUUCGGGUUGUAAACUGCUUUUGUACGGAACGAAACGGCUCUGGUUAAUACCCGGGGCUAAUGACGGUACCGUGAGAAUAAGCACCGGCUAACUACGUG